UUUGGGUACUUCAAUCAGUCAUAGGUUUGGUCUUUUUACAUAGUCCCAUAGCUCUGGAAGGUAUUGUUCAUUGCUUUUAUAUUUUUUUCUCUAAUCUCGUCUGCCUGCCUUAUUUCAGAAAAGUAGUAUUCAAGCUCUGAUAUUCUUUCUUCUGCCUGGUUGAUUCAGCUAUUAAUACUUGUGUUUGCAUCAUGAAGCUCUCAUGCUGUGUUUCUCAGCUCCAACAGGUCAUUUGUAUUCCUCUCUAAACUGGUUAUUCUAAUUAACAUUUCCUGUAAUCUUUUAUCAUGGUUUUUGGCUUCUUUGCAUUGGGUUAGAACAUAAUCCUUUAGCUCAGCAAAGUUUGUCAUUACUCAGUUUCUGAUACCUACUUCUGUCAGUUCAUCCAUCUCAGCUUCAGCCCUGUUGUGUGCUCUUGCUGAAGAAAUGCUGAAAUCAUUUGAGAAGAAAAGGCAUUCCAGCUUUUGGAAUUUUCAGCGGUCUUGCACUGGUUUUUCAUCAUCUUUGUGGAUUUAUCUACCUUUAAUCUUUGAAGCUGUUGACCUUUGGAUGGGAUUUUUGUAGGGUCUUUUUUGUUGAUGCUGUUGUUAUUGUUGCUUUCGUUUUUUGUUUUUCUUCUAGCAGUCAGUCCCCUCUUCUGCAGGUCUGCUGCAAUUCGCUGGGGGUCCACUACAGAUACUGUUCACCUGGGUAUCAUCGAUGGAGGCUGCAGAACAGCAAAGAUUGCUGCCUGCUCCUUUCUAUGGAAGCUUCGUCCCAGAGAGGCACUUACCUGAUGCCUGUUGGAACUCUCCUGCAUAAGGAAGAAACUAAGUUCCAGUACUUGGAUGUCAACUUGCUGACGACAAGGCACUUCCUUACAAUGAGCCUGGAAUUCUAAGCAGCAGUUUCACAAUCUGUAAUUGCACGUUUCUGCCCUUUACAAUAAAGAAAUACACAGUUUCCUUUCA
rnacentral:lncRNA from 1 species